GACGAACCGUGCAAACGUUAUUCGGAAUCACUGGGCAUAAAGGGCGCGUAGGCGGCUUGACAAGUCAGGGGUGAAAUCCGGCAGCUUAACUGUCGCAGUGCCUUUGAUACUGUCGAGCUCGAGGGAGGUAGGGGUCUGUGGAACUUCCGGUGGAGCGGUGAAAUGCGUUGAUAUCGGAAGGAACGCCGGUGGCGAAAGCGACGGACUGGAUCUCUUCUGACGCUGAGGCGCGGAAGCCAGGGGAGCAAACGGG
rnacentral:rRNA from 1 species